rnacentral:rRNA from 1 species
GACGAGGGGUCCUAGCGUUGUUCGGAAUCACUGGGCGUAAAGCGUAUGUAGGCGGGCUUUUAAGUCAGGUGUGAAAUCCCAUGGCUCAACCAUGGAAUUGCAUUUGAAACUGGAAGUCUUGAGUGUGGGAGAGAUUGGUAGAAUACCUGGUGUAGUGGUGAAAUACGUAGAUAUCAGGUGGAAUACCGGUGGCGAAGGCGGCCAAUUGGCCCAACACUGACGCUGAGAUACGAAAGCGUGGGGAUCAAACAGG